GUGUGGGUGCCGCGCGGGGUGUGAGUGACGGGCUCGUGUCCCGUCGCCCGCAGGUGGAAGGCGACCGGCUUCGGCUCGCCGCCCAUGCGCCA
rnacentral:tRNA from 3 species